CCCAAUUUCAUGUGUCAAGGAGGCGACUUUACCGCCGGAAACGGUACCGGAGGUGAAUCCAUCUAUGGAGCCAAGUUUGCGGACGAGAACUUCAUCAAGAAGCACACGGGACCUGGCAUCCUUUCCAUGGCGAACGCUGGACCCGGAACAAACGGAUCUCAAUUCUUCAUCUGCACGACCAAGACGGAGUGGCUGGACGGAAAGCACGUGGUGUUCGGACAGGUGGUGGAAGGCAUGGAUGUGGUUAAAGCGAUUGAGAAGGUGGGGUCUAGCGGUGGGAGGACUUCCAAGCCUGUUGUUAUUGCUGACUGUGGACAGCUUUGAAAAAGGGCUUAUUGAAUUGUGUUUCCUUCAUAAUAUCUGGUCUUUUUAGGCUUCUUUUUUAUGCUAUGCUGCUUCUAUGGCUACUGGGUUUUGGUGUUUUUUAAGAAGUUGCUUGAUGUAGCUUUUUCAUUAACUGCCAUAAAUAAGAUA
rnacentral:lncRNA from 1 species